UAAACCAGGAUUAGAUACCCUAUUAUAUUUAAACAAAUUGGGUAGUAUUAUUAAUAAAAACCUUUAUACUUUGGCGGCAUUUUAUCUUAUUAGAGGAAUAUGUUCAUUAAUCGAAACCACACGAUAGUUUUUACUUACUAUAAAAUUUUAUAUACCCCCGUCUUAAGAAUUUAUUUAAAAUUUUUAUUCCAAAUUAUAUUAAAAAAAGUUAGGUAAAGGUGUAGACUAUUAGUAAGAUUAAAUGUAUUACAUUAAAAAAAAAUUUAAGGAUAAAACAGUUAACUGUUUAUUAAAAGAGGAUUUAUAAGUAAUUUACUUUUAAUAAAAAUUAAUGAAUAAGAAAAUAAAUGUGCACAUAUCGCCCGUCACUCUCACAU
rnacentral:rRNA from 1 species